GACGAACGCUGGCGGCGUGCUUAACACAUGCAAGUCGAACGGAAAGGCCCUGCUUUUUUGGGGUUCUCGAGUGGCGAUCGGGUGCGUAACACGUGAGUAACCUGCUCUUGUUUUUGGUAUAACUUCAGGUAACUGGGGCUACUACCGUACAGGAUCUCCUGUUGCAUUGUGGGGGUUGGAAAUUCUCGGCGGGUGGGGAUGGACUCGCGGCUUAUCAGCUUGUUGGUUGGGUAGUGGCUUACCCAGGCUUUGACGGGUAGCCGGCAUGAGAGGGUGACCGGGCACAUUGGGACUGAGAGACGGAGCAGACGCGUACGGGAGGCAGUAGUGGGGAAUAUUGCACAAUGGGAGGGAGCCGGAUGCAGCAACGCCGCGUGCGGGAUGACGGCCUUCGGGUUGUAAACAGCAUUAGCCUGUGACGAAGCGUGAGUGACGGUAAUGGGUGAAGAAGCACCGGCUAACUACGUG
rnacentral:rRNA from 1 species